rnacentral:rRNA from 1 species
GUACACGCUGUGACUAGCAUAUCAAUAAGCGGAGGAAAAGAAACUAACAAGGAUUCCCUCAGUAACGGCGAGUGAAGCGGGAAGAGCUCAAAUUUGAAAUCUUGAAAGGUCACCUUUCACGAAUUGUAGUUUAAAGAAGUGUUUCCUGUUACGAUCGUAAUAUAAGUUCUUUGGAAUAGGACAUCACAGAGGGUGAGAAUCCCGUCUAUGAUUGCGAUUUGUAGCUUUGUGAUACACUUUCAAAGAGUCGGGUUGUUUGGGAAUGCAGCCCAAAACGGGAGGUAAAUUUCUUCUAAGGCUAAAUAUUGGCGAGAGACCGAUAGCGAACAAGUACCGUGAGGGAAAGAUGAAAAGAACUUUGAAAAGAGAGUUAAAUAGUACGUGAAAUUGUCAAAAGGGAAGCGUUUAACACCAGUGUUGUUUUCUGAAAAUCAACCUCUGUUAGCUUUAUGCAUGUUUGUUUAGACCUAAUCAGCUAUCUUGCAUGUUCUAUUGUUUGCAGUGGUGCACUUUUCAGUUUACAGGUCAACAUCAGUUUUUUUUACCGUAAAAAAGUUAAAGAAAGGUAGCUCAUGGCUCCGGUCGUGAGUGUUAUAGUCUUUUUCCUAUGCGGUAGGAGAGACUGAGGUCUGCAGUGUAGGCUAUUUGGCUAGAUACUCAGGUGCUAUGUGAUACCAUUUCAUAAACAACUUGUUGAUUAUGUUUUGUCUAUUGCAUACUCGCUUGUACUAUCAUACCUACGCUUAGGAUGUUGAGUAGCGACAUACGCAC